rnacentral:rRNA from 1 species
AGUGAACGCUGGCGGUAGGCCUAACACAUGCAAGUCGAACGGCAGCACAGGAGAGCUUGCUCUCUGGGUGGCGAGUGGCGGACGGGUGAGGAAUACAUCGGAAUCUACUCUGUCGUGGGGGAUAACGUAGGGAAACUUACGCUAAUACCGCAUACGACCUACGGGUGAAAGCAGGGGACCUUCGGGCCUUGCGCGAUUGAAUGAGCCGAUGUCGGAUUAGCUAGUUGGCGGGGUAAAGGCCCACCACGGCGACGAUCCGUAGCUGGUCUGAGAGGAUGAUCAGACACACUGGAACUGAGACACGGUCCAGACGCCUACGGGAGGCAGCAGUGGGGAAUAUUGGACAGUGGGCGCAAGCCUGAUCCAGCCAUACCGCGUGGGUGAAGAAGGCCUUCGGGUUGUAAAGCCCUUUUGUUGGGAAAGAAAUCCAGCUGGCUAAUACCUGGUUGGGAUGACGGUACCCAAAGAAUAAGCACCGGCUAACUUCGUGCCAGCCGCCGCCGUAA